rnacentral:rRNA from 1 species
AGACGGGGACCCGCACAAGCGGUGGAUGAUGUGGAUUAAUUCGAUGCAACGCGAAAAACCUUUACCUACCCUUGACAUGUCUGGAACCUUGCUGAGAGGCGAGGGUGCCUUCGGGAGCCAGAACACAGGUGCUGCAUGGCUGUCGUCAGCUCGUGUCGUGAGAUGUUGGGUUAAGUCCCGCAACGAGCGCAACCCUUGUCAUUAGUUGCCAUCAUUUAGUUGGGCACUCUAAUGAGACUGCCGGUGACAAACCGGAGGAAGGUGGGGAUGACGUCAAGUCCUCAUGGCCCUUAUGGGUAGGGCUUCACACGUCAUACAAUGGUCGGUACAGAGGGUCGCCAGCCAGCGAUGGUGAGACUAAUCCCAAAAAACCGGCCUCAGUACAGAUAGAAGUCUGCAACUCGACUUCUUGAAGUCGGAAUCGCUAGUAAUCGCUAAUCAGCAGGUAGCGGUGAAUACGUUCCCGGGCCUU